rnacentral:rRNA from 1 species
GACGAACGCUGGCGGCGUGCCUAAUACAUGCAAGUUGAGCGAUGAAGAUUGGUGCUUGCACCAAUUUGAAGAGCAGCGAACGGGUGAGUAACGCGUGGGGAAUCUGCCUUUGAGCGGGGGACAACAUUUGGAAACGAAUGCUAAUACCGCAUAACAACUUUAAACAUAAGUUUUAAGUUUGAAAGAUGCAAUUGCAUCACUCAAAGAUGAUCCCGCGUUGUAUUAGCUAGUUGGUGAGGUAAAGGCUCACCAGGGCGAUGAUACAUAGCCGACCUGAGAGGGUGAUCGGCCACAUUGGGACUGAGACACGGCCCAAACUCCUACGGGAGGCAGCAGGAGGGAAUCUUCGGCAAUGGACGAAAGUCUGACCGAGCAACGCCGCGUGAGUGAAGAAGGUUUUCGGAUCGUAAAACUCUGUUGGUAGAGAAGAACGUUGGUGAGAGUGGAAAGCUCAUCAAGUGACGGUAACUACCCAGAAAGGGACGGCUAACUACGUG